ensembl:lncRNA
UCUCUGCCUGCGUCCCAAACACAACCCACUUCCCCAUGUAGUGCACUACUUUUAAUUAGGUCCAUAGGCUCUGGACAAAAGUAGUCUAUAAUGCUAACAAAAUUAGCACAAGUUUCGAAUGGAGGCUAACUAAAUAUGAUAAUGUGCGCAAACUAAAAUGACUUAUUGCAAAGAGAAGCAGUCCAGUUCACGAAGUUCUACAUAUAUAGGUAGGAGCUACCGAAUGUUAUUUUGGUGAGUUUUACAAGCGAAUAUGCCAAAUUGGAGGCGGCUUAUGGUAGAGAAACGUACAUUCAAUUAUCUGGCAACAGCUCUAGUAGACAUUCUAGCUCUGCUUUAUCUCCUAACGUAUUGCGCAAGUUAAGUGCAUGUGUGUACUUAAAAAGUAGCUACAAAUAUAAAAAUGUAUUGAAAAACUUAAAAUAAAUAAUUUCAACAGUAUUGAAAAACCGCCCCGUUGCUAUUUCCCCUGGUAUACGGUUAUACCGCCCAAAGCUAAACGCCGAACAGGCCCGAAACGCUUCAUCAGUGCAUCCCACCUGUUUCUCCAACAGUCAGGUCCUCCACAUAGAGAUGCUCCUCCGUAAAUACUGCUCCUCCAUAGGUACUGCUCCUCCAUAGGUACUGCUCCUCCAUAGGUACUGCUCCUCCAUAGGUACUGCUCCUCCAUAGAUACUCCUCCUCCAUAGGUACUGCUCCUCCGUAAAUACUGCUCCUUCCAUAGGGGACACUGUCAUCCCUCCAUAGGUACUGCUCCUCCCUCCAUAGAUACUGCUCCUCCCUCCAUAGGUACUGCUCCUCCCUCCAAUAGUAACUGCUCUCUCCAUAGUUACUGCUCCUCCAUAGUUAACUGCUCCUCCAUAGGUACUGCUCCUCCCUCCAUUACUGUCUACCGCAUCCUCCAUAGGUACUGCUCCUCUCAUAGGUAUCCUGCUGCUCCUCCAUAGGUACUGCCCUCCCUCCAUAGAUAUUGCUCCUCCCUCCAUAGGUACUGCUCCUCCCUCCAUAGGUACUGCUCCUCCCUCCAUAGGUACUGCUCCUCCCUCCAUAGGUACUGCUCCUCCCUCCAUAGGUACCGCUCCUCUCCAUAGUUACUGCUCCUCCAGGUUACUGCUCCUCCAUAGUUACUGCUCCUCCAUAGUUACUGCUCAUCCGCUCCAUAGGGUACCCGCUCCUCCUAGGUACUGCUCCUCCCUAGGUACUGCUCCCUCCCUCC